rnacentral:rRNA from 1 species
GACGAACGCUGGCGGCGUGCCUAAUACAUGCAAGUAGAACGCAGAAGGAGGAGCUUGCUUCUCUGGAUGAGUUGCGAACGGGUGAGAAACGCGUAGGUAACCUGCCUGGUAGCGGGGGAUAACUAUUGGAAACGAUAGCUAAUACAGCAUAAUAGUAGUUGAUGCAUGACAUUUGCUAAAAAAGUGCAAUUGCAUUAUUACCAGUUGGACCCGCGUUGUAUUAGCUAGUUGGUGGGGUAAAGGCUCAACAAGGAGACGACACAUAGCCGACCUGCGAGGGGGGACGGCCACCACGGGACUGGGACACGGCCCCAGCUCCUACGGGGGGCAGCAGUAGGGGAAUUUUCGGAAAGGGGGGAAGUCUGAACGGAGAAAGCCGGGGGAAUGGAGAAGGUUUUCGGGUCGUAAAACUCCGGUGUUAGAGAAGAACGAGUGUGGUAGUGAACAGUUCACACUUUGACGGUAUCUUACCAGAAAGGGACGGCUAACUACGUG